AUGUCGACCUCCGGUCUCAACAACAAUGUUUCCGAAGCACUUACCCGAUCCAACUACAUACUCUGGCGUGCUCAAGCCCACUCCCAGAUCAUGGGGGCCAGACUCUUUGGGUACAUCGACAAAACCAUAGCCGAACCACCAAGAACCCUAACCAGCAAAAACUCCGACGGCAAAGAUCAGGUUAUUCCAAACCCUGCUUAUACGCCUUGGUUGAUCCAAGAUCAGCAGAUCAUUGCCUACCUACUCCGCAACCUUUCCAAGGAAGUACCGGUUCAGGUAGCAUCCCUAGAAACCUCUGCCGCCAUAUGGUCAGCCCUUGCCAACAUGUUCUCU
rnacentral:rRNA from 1 species